rnacentral:rRNA from 1 species
AGCGAACGCUGGCGGCAGGCCUAACACAUGCAAGUCGAACGAACCUUUCGGGGUUAGUGGCGGACGGGUGAGUAACACGUGGGAACGUGCCUUUAGGUUCGGAAUAACUCAGGGAAACUUGUGCUAAUACCGAAUGUGCCCUUCGGGGGAAAGAUUUAUCGCCUUUAGAGCGGCCCGCGUCUGAUUAGCUAGUUGGUUGAGGUAAUGGCUCACCAAGGCGACGAUCAGUAGCUGGUCUGAGAGGAUGAUCAGCCACAUUGGGACUGAGACACGGCCCAAACUCCUACGGGAAGCAGCAGUGGGGAAUCUUGCGCAAUGGGCGAAAGCCUGACGCAGCCAUGCCGCGUGAAUGACGAAGGUCUUAGGAUUGUAAAAUUCUUUCACCGGGGACGAUAAUGACGGUACCCGGAGAAGAAGCCCCGGCUAACUUCGUG